CAGUCGCCGCGGUAAUACGUAGGUGGCAAGCGUUGUCCGGAAUUAUUGGGCGUAAAGGGCUCGCAGGCGGCUUCUUAAGUCUGAUGUGAAAGCCCCCGGCUCAACCGGGGAGGGUCAUUGGAAACUGGGAAACUUGAGUGCAGAAGAGGAGAGUGGAAUUCCACGUGUAGCGGUGAAAUGCGUAGAGAUGUGGAGGAACACCAGUGGCGAAGACGACUCUCUGGUCUGUAACUGACGCUGAGGAGCGAAAGCGUGGGGAGCGAACAGGAUUAGAUACCCGUGUAGUCCCUGUCUCUUAUAC
rnacentral:rRNA from 1 species